rnacentral:rRNA from 1 species
UACGUAGGGCGCGAGCGUUGUCCGGAAUUACUGGGCGUAAAGCGUGCGUAGACGGUUCCGUAAGUCGGGUGUGAAAGCCCCGGGCUCAACCUGGGAAUUGCAUUCGAGACUGCGAAGCUAGGGUGCGGAAGAGGGAAGCGGAAUUUCUGGUGUAGCGGUGAAAUGCGUAGAUAUCAGAAGGAACAUCAGUGGCGAAAGCGGCUUCCUGGUCCAGCGCCGACGUUCAGGCACGAAAGCGUGGGGAGCAAACAGG